UCAGAGGCGGACCCACAUGAAAGGGGAUCUAGCUCGUCUCUAUUACUUUUUCUCUUCAUUUCAUCAAGUACACAUCUAAAUGAGAGACGUGUGUUCUAUUUAAUUUUUAAAGACCAAAAUUUUAUUACACUAACAAGUAUACUAAUCAUAAUUAAGUCAAUGAUUUUGGAAAAGCACUCUCCAAAUUUUCGUAAGAAAAAGACAUUCCCCACAAUUUUUGACACCCAUUAAUAUCAUUAAUUACAUCUUAUAAAACAAUAAUUAAAUGUCGUGAACCCAUAAUCAACAGAGUGAACCCGUUUUUUGUUCUUUUACUACAAGCUUUGUCAUUUGCUUUUUAGGAGACAAUUUGCUACGGUUUUGAAGAAGUAAUAUAUGGUGAUAAUCUCUUGUUAUUUUUUUUUUUUUACUCUUUCUUUUUUCUUUUUGUACUUUUACUUCUUGCUUUGCCUUUUUCUUUUUGUUAGAUAAUUCACUUUGAUGUUGAACAAGCAAUCUAUGGUGAUAAUCUUUUCUUUUUUUCUCUCUUUCUUUUUUCUUUUUGUUAUUUUAUUACUGGCUUUGCCUUUUUCUUUUUGAGAGACUAUUCACUUUGGUGUUAAAAAAAAUAAUCUAUGGUGAUAAUCUCUUGUUUCUUUUUUCUCUUUCUUUUUUAUUUUUAUUCUUUUACUACUGACUUUGCCUUUUCUUUUUUGGGAGAUAAUUCACUUUGUUGUUGAAGAAGCAAUUUAUGGUGACAACCAUUUUUUUUUUUUAUUCUUUUUGUUAUUUUACCACCCGCUUUGCUUUUUUCUUUUUGGGAGACAAUUCACUUUAGUGUUGAAGAAGCAAUCUAUAGUGAACACCUUUUAUUUUAUUUUUUUCUCUUUCUUUUUUCUUUUUGCUCUUUUACUACUGGCUUUGCCUUUUUUCUUUUUGGGAGACAAUUCACUUUGGUGUUGAAGAAGCAAUCUAUGGUGAUAAUCUUUUUUUUUUUUAAUCUUUCCUUUUUCUUUUCUGUUUUUUUACUACUGGCUUUGCCUUUUUCUUUUUUCGGGAGACAAGUCACUUUGGUGCUGAAGAAGCAACCUAUGGUGAUAACCUCUUGUCUUUUUUCUUUUUCUCUUUCUUUUUUCUUUUUGUUCUUUUACUAUUGGCUUUGCCUUUUUUCUUUUUGAGAGACAAUUUACUUUGAUGUAGAAGAAACAAUCUAUGGUUAUAAUUUCUUUUUGUUUGUCUUUCUUUUUUCUUAUUGUUCUGUUACUACUGGCUUUGCCUUUUUUUUUUUUUGGGAUACAAUUCACUUUGGUGUUGAAGAAGCAAUCUAAGGUGACAAUUUCUUUUUCUUUUUUCUUUUUGUUAUUUUACUACUUGCUUUGCUUUUUUCUUUUUAAGAGACAAUUCACUUUGGUGUUUGAAUAAAAAUCUAUGAUGAUAAUCUCCUCUUCUUUUUUUCUCUUUCUUUUUUCUUUUUGUUCUUUACUACUGGCUUUGUUUUUUCUUUAUAGGAGACAAUUCACUUUAAUAUUGAUGAAGUAAUCUACAGUGGCAACCUCUAUUUUUUUUUUCUAUUUCUUUUUUUUUUUUUUGUUCUUUAACUGCUGGCUUUGUCUUUUGUCUUUUGUCUUUUUGGGAGACCAUUCACUUUGGUGUUGAAGAAGAAAUCUAUGGUGAUAAUCUCUUCAUUUUUUUUUUGUCUUUCUUUUUGUUCUUUUACUACUGACUUUGCCUCUUUUUUUUUUUUUUGGAGACAAUCACUUUGGCUAUGAAGAAGUAAUCUAUGGUGAUAAUCUCUUCUUUUUUUUUGUUUGUUCUUUUACUACUAGCUUUGCCUUUUUUCUUUUUUGGGGACAAUUCACUUUAUUGUAGAAUAAGCAAUCUAUGGUGACAAUCUCAUUUUUUUUUCUCUCUCUCUCUCUCUUUGGUUCUUUUACGACUGACUUUGCCUUUUUCUUUUUCGGAGAUAAUUCACUUUAGUAUUGAAGAAACAAUCUAUGGUGAUAAUCUUUUUUUUUUCUCUUUCUUUUUUCUUUUUGAUCUUUUACAACAGACUUUGACUUUUUCUUUUUGCGACACAGUUCACUUUGGUGUUGAAAAAGCAAUUCAUGUUGAUAAUCUCUUGUUUGUUUUUCUUUGUUUUUUAUUUUUGUUCUUUUAUUACUGGCUUUGCCUUUUUCUUUUUGGAAGACAAUUCACUUAGAUGUUGAAGCACCAAUCUAUAGUGACAACCUCUUAUUUUUUUUCUGUUUCUUUUUGUUCUUUUACUAUUGACUUAGCCUUUUUCUUUUUGGGAUACAAUUCACUUUGGUAUUGAAGAAACAAUCUAUAGUAAUAAUCUCUUUUUUAUUUUUCUCUUUCUUAUUUCAUUUGGUUAUUUUACAACUGGCUUUGUCUUUUACUUUUUGAGAGACAAAUCACUUUUGUGUUUUGAAUAAGUAAUGUAUGGUGAUAAUCAUUUGUUUUUCUUUUCAGUUUUUUUUUUGUUUGAUUUUUUUACUAGUGGCUUUGCCUUUUUCUUUUGGGAAACAAUUCACUUUGGUGUUGAAUAAGCAAUUUAUGGUGAUAAUCUCUUUUUUUCCCCUUUCUUUUUUUCUUUUUGCUCUUUUACUGUUAGCUUUGCUUUUUUCUUUUUAGGAGACAAUUCAUUUUGGUGUCGAAGAAGUAAUCGAUGGUGACAACCUCUUUUUUUUUCUAUUUCUUUUUUCUUUUUGUUCUUUUACUACUGGCUUUGUCUUUUUUUUUUUGGAAGACAAUUCACUUUGGUAUUGAAAAAGCAAGCUAUGUUGAUAAUCUUUUUUUUGUUUUGUUUUCUCUUUCUCUAUUCUUUUUGUUUUUUACUACUGGCUUUGCUUUUUUCUUUUUGGAAGGCAAAUCACUUUGGUAUUGAAGAAGCAAUCUAUGGUGACAAUCUCUUGUUUUUUUUCUCUCUUUCUUUUUUCUUUUUGUUCUUCUAAUACUGGCUUUGCUUUGUUCUUUUUGAUAGAUAAUUGACUUUGGUGUUGAAGAAGCAAUCUAUGGUGACAAUCUCUUGUUUUUUUUUUCUCUUUCUUUUUCUUUUUGUUCUUCUAAUACUGGCUUUGCUUUGUUCUUUUUGAUAGAUAAUUGACUUUGGUGUUGAAGAAGCAAUCUAUGGUGACAAUCUCUUGUUUUUUUUUUCUCUUUCUUUUUCUUUUUGUUCUUCUAAUACUGGCUUUGCUUUGUUCUUUUUGAUAGACAAUUUACUUUGGUGUUGAAGAAGCAAUCUAUGGUGAUAAUCUCUUCUUCUUCUUUUUGUAUAUUUCUUUUCUCUUUUUGUUCUUUUACUACUAACUUUACGUUUUUUUUUUUGUUUCACUUUCUUUUUUGUUCUUUUACUACUGUCUUUGCCUUUUUCUUUUUGGAAGACAAUUCACUUUGAUGUUAAAGAAGCAAUAUAUGGUGAUAAUAUCUUUUUUUCUCUUUCUUUUUUCUUUUUCUUUCUUUUACUACUUGCUUUGCCUUUUUCAUUUUGGGAGACAAUUUACUUUGGUGUUGAAGAAGUAAUCUACGGUGAUAAUCUCUUGUUUUUUUUUUUGUUCUCUUUCUUUUUUCUUUUUGUUAUUUUACUACUAGCUUUUCUUUUUUCUUUUUGGGGGACAAAUCACUAUUUUGUUGAAUAAGCAAUCUAUGGUGAUAAUAUCUUCUUUUUUUCCUCUUUCUUUUUUCUUUUUGUUCUUUUACUAUUAGCUUUGUCUUUUUCUUUUUGGGAGAAAAUUUACUUUGGUGUUGAAGAAACAAUCUAUGGUGAUAAUAUCUUUUUUUUCUCUUUCUUUUUUUUAUUUGUUCUUUUACUACUGGCUUUGCCUUUUUCAUCUUGGUAGACAAUUAUGUUGGUGUUGAAGAAGCAAUCUAUGGUGAUAAUCUUUGUUUUUUCCCUUUCUAUUUUCUUUUUGAUCUUUUAUUACAGGUUUUGCCGUUUUCUUUUUAGGAGACAAUUCACUUUGGUGUUGAGGAAGCAAUCUACAGUGAUAAUCUUUACAUUGUUUUCUCUCUUUCUUUUUUCUUUUUGUUCUUUUACUACAGAGUUCGCCUUUUUUUUUUGGGAGACAAUCACUUUGGUGGUGAAUAAAUAAUCUAUUUUUUUUAGGAACCACUAAGCCACAGCUUAGUGUGAUAUAUUUUAUUUAUGGUAAAUAAAGACCAAAGUCUAAAAGUUCAGACACCAACAAAAGGACAGCAACAACAAAAAAUAAACACCCUAAAUCGAUCCUCUUCUUCAGCUUGUCUUCAGUCAAUCUUCACUAAUCCACCAAGAUCUGCCCCCAUCGACGAAGAACAAUACCAGCUUGUGAAGAUUCAAUGUUCAAAAAUCAGCUACUUCAGCUCCUCUUCAAUCUAUCUUCUAUUAUACACAAAGAUCCGUCCCCAUCGAUGAAGAAAGUAUGAUUUCCAGCUUGUCAUUAGCUAUUGCAGCUCCUCUUCAAUCGAUAUUCAAUUAUACACCAAGAUCCGUCCCCAUCGAUGAAGAAAAUACGAUUUCCAGAUUUCUCUCACACCAGAAGGAAAAAGCUAUUGGAUUCAUAUGGUGAACCCAUAACCAACACAGUGGAUCCGCCCCCCUGUAUGUUCUAAUACUGUUAUUGUCAAUUUAAUCAAUUGUUGCAUGUUGUUAUUCUAUUUUUCAUGUUAUCAUAUCAUGCUUGACCAGGAGAGUUACCUGUUAUUGCAUGUCAAUAUAACCUGAUAGCGUAAAAGUUCUUUACGACAUAAUAUAAACUCUUUGUCAAGGAAUAAUAUUUUCUGUUUCACGGGAAAUAUAUCCCUUUCUGCUGGUCAGGGCAAAGAACAAAUUCCUUUCUUUUGGUCAAAGGAAAACAAUGGCGUUUAAUUUCUCCUUUGGAGAUUAAUCAAGAAGAGUUUAAUAUAAUUAUCCUUUUCUAUAUAAUGGUUUUGCAAGCACGGUUAAUGUAUUCGGGGCUAGCAAGACAAUAGAGGUUAGAUAGCUCUGAUAGGAGGAAGAGGUAGGUUAGGUCACCUGUCCAUAAAAAAGAUCAAUAGCCCUAAUAAAGGGAUGGCGUGGUUAGUUAUUCGUCAUAGACAAAUGGGUGAUCAUGAAAGAAAGCAGUAUGACUAUAUUAUUAAUCAUGCAACUCAAAUGCACCUAGUUGUGGCUACACUACUAGUGACGGUCACCUUUGCAGCCGGUUUCACAUUGCCGGGAGGUUUUGAGAGCGACCUCGAUAGCCCUAAUAAAGGGAUGGCGAUUCUUACCAGGGACACAGCAUUCCGUGCAUUCGUUAUUAUCGAUGCCAUCGCUUUGUAUGCUCCGCUGGCUCUGUGUUCAGCUACUUCAUCAUGGCAUUGUAUCAACCAACGACCAGUGAAGAGAUGACAGUUCUGAUAAACAUUUAUGUGGUUGCAAUGACUUUGCAGUUUUUCUCAAUGUCAGCAGUUGUAAUUGCAUUUAUAACUGGUUUGUAUGCUACUUUGGCACAUUCAGCUGGUCUUGCUGUUACUGUUUGUGUCAUCGGUUGCCUCUUUUUCCUAAUUUACGUGUUAGUUUUCUAUCUAAUAAUUCUAAGAUGAUUGAGUGAAGACAUAUGAGUAUAAAUUAUAAUGCAUGUAGUGUUUCCUUAUGUGUUGUAUCUUGUGCUGUUUAGCAUAUUCAAUGUAAACAAUAUUUUACAUAAUCAGGUAACCUUUAUUUA